UGAAUGUUAAUGACUGCCAGUGUAGAAUGUGGCCUUGGUGGCGGCCUCUGCGCUUAAUAAGGUCCCUGCGAGUUCUCGUCUGUGCGUCCGCCCGUCAAGUCUUUGGGGUUUUCUGUUGUGCUGCUUCUUCAGCGCAGUAGGGUUAACAUCGGCUGAAAGGCGCAAGGAAAUAUCCUUUAAAUUCUUACUACCUAACCUAACGAUGAGCUCAUGUUUAGGUCAAAGUCUGCAUCCCAACCAACAGGAUCAAAAGUCCGAGGGUCAAACGUUCGUAUUGCAGUCGGGUUUCCAGGUCGUGAGAAUCUUAAUGGAAUUCUUAUUGACGCUGGGGUAUGCAACAGCAACUGUGUCCCUCGCUGUUGUAUGGUGGGUGUGGUUGUAGCGGCUGCAGAUUAGCCAAUUGAAGAUGUGGCGGUUGCAGCGGUUUUUGUAUUUUCUUACGGCAGUGGAGUUAGAGGAAUAUUGGCUUUGGUUAUAUUUUUUGUGGCUUAGUUUUUUAGUUUUAAAAUUUUCGAUUUAAUACUCAAACUUUAUUUUCUACUUCUGUUCAGGUUUUUAAUUAACAUUUUUCAAAAUAAGUUUUCUUUUUCAGCCUUUUUGUGUCUUUCUAGUAACUUUAAUUUUUUCUAGAUUAUUUCUUUUUCUGGUCUUUUAAUUUACUUCCACUUUUAACCUUUAACUAAUGUUUUAAUUAAUAUUUUUUUCUCUAUUUUCAGGCUUUUCAAAUUGCUUAUUUCAUUUAUUUUUUCUUUUUACGCUUUUGGAAUAACUUUAUCUUUUAUUUAAUUUUUCAAACUUAUUUUAAACUUUAUCUCUAUAACAUUUCAUUUUUUUUAAUUGUUUUUGCUCGCUUUUCAAUGUUUUUUAUAAGUUCGUUUCUUAAAAAAAAAACUUUCUUUAAAUAGGUAUAUGAUAUUAUUUGUUUACAGUUUCAGCCGUUUUCUUAAUAUUAUUCACAUACUUUUGUCAUAUUCAUUUUCAAAAACACACGAUUUGAAAAAAAAUCUUGACUUGUGUUUUUUCGUGUGACGAUGGCUCCCCCUUCGUAGUCCCAAUCCAAAAAGAAAAACACUUACUUGGGUCACUGGCCGGCUUGGCUUGGAUUUCAUCAUCAAAUUUGACUUCCAGCGGGCACCAACAAAACAUACGGUUGUAACCAUAGUUGUCAGUUCGUGUCAGCUGGCUGUCGUUUUCGAUGACAGGAGGCGAAUUCUAGCCAUCAGAUGGUGCUCUCUGUCUUCUACCCGCUAGUCGAUGGCGCUGGGGUUGCAUAUUAAGACGAACGCCACAACAUGUGCAAAAAUGUCGAACAAUUUUUUAGGUUAGUGCACGCAUCCUUACGGCUUAGUGGCGGUGCAGUAGCAGCAACAUGGCGGCGGUUUGAUUCGCAUUGGCAGAUGUAGACGGUAAGGUGUCAUGGACGAUGUUGGCCAGGCGACGCAGUACGGACAGCCAUUCUGCAAAAUCAACUAUGGUGGCUGGUUAUUGUAGUUGAAGACAUUUUUCGGCCCACUGUAUUUCGGCUUGUUGAAGGCUUAGCGAUGAGUUCGCUUAUCAGUGAUUCGGCGGUUUGAUUCGGCAUUGGCAGAUGUAGACGGUAAGGUGUCAUGGACGAUGUUGGCCAGGCGACGCAGUACGGACAGCCAUUCUGCAAAAUCAACUAUGGUGGCUGGUUAUUGUAGUUGAAGACAUUUUUCGGCCCACUGUAUUUCGGCUUGUUGAAGGCUUAGCGAUGAGUUCGCUUAUCAUUGAAAGGGUAGGACAGAUGAUGAUCUCCCUUCACGUUCCUGACAAAUGAGGCCCUGUUGGCGACUUGUUUGCAAAAUUGACCAGGGCUUCCAGGUUGUCGUUGGCUAAAGCUGGAAUGACACGAACAUUUUCAAUUUGGCUUCCAAUUAACUGCUCCGGACUACCAAAGGUUUCAAGCAGAGUUUGUGGUGUUGACGUUGACAGAAUUGACUUGCAGCGACUUGAUGGUUUCUCUCGCUCGUCCCUUAAUAUCAUCUCUGAGUGCCAUGAUGUUGUGUAGGCUAUUGUAGCCAAAUACGGCAGUGGUGCUUUCGUACGCUCCAUAAAAGGUUUGCCACUCUUCUGGAAGACAUGAAAUGUGGAAUUGAAACAAAACUUUGUGGAUACGUAUUGUGGACAGACAUUUACGAAUUUAUGGACAGAGGAGGCAGCGGAUAUACACUUGUUGUGGCAAUGGCAACUGUCGUGGCAGAUUUUGUGGUGGAUGUUGUGCCUGAUAUGGCGCUGGCUGUUUUUACUAAUUUCGUGGCGGCAGUAUCGUUUCUGGCUUAUUAUUUAAUGGCGGCGGUGCUAUCGUCGAUGCAAGUAAUGCUGACUGCAUUUCCACUUGUUUGGUGGUGUUAGUAAGUUGUGCUUGCAUAUUUUUUGUUGAGGCAAUAUACUGUGCAUUACUUGCAUUUCUCGCUGCAUUUGCUCCAUUUGUACUCUCAUUUGUUUCAUGAACUCACCGACUUCACUUGAAGGUUUUGGCAUACCGGCUGGUGACUUGGCUGCAUUUUUCUGGUGCUGUAAAUGAGGAGGCGGAUUAGUCGUAUUUGCAAGAGGCAUACCGUUCAUUGGCUGUGGCUGGUUUUUGUUGGCAUAUCGGACUUUGGUGAGUGGCUGAUAGACAUCUCACUGACGUAUUGCGGAAAACGGGCUGGAGGUGUCCCUUUUUUGCUUCCCCUGCUUGUUCUUGGCUGUUCGACAUAAACUAGGCAGGAUCUCAACUCAAAGGAAUAAACAUCACACACCUGAGGCCUUCCAAAAUAAGAUGAUGGAUGAAUUUAUUUUAAACUGGUGAAAAAAACUACUCGAUUUAUUUCUUUAUUGCUUUGUGUUCAAAUAACAAGAUUCAACAUUUGGUUCAUGUGUAUGUGUGUUGAUUUGAGAUUGAUUAUGUUAAUUCACUAUGAACAAAAUAAAUGUAUUAAAAUUUACAUUUUAA